UACGUAGGGCGCAAGCGUUAUCCGGAAUUAUUGGGCGUAAAGAGCUCGUAGGCGGACCUGCAAGUCGGGGGUGAAAGCCCGAGGCUCAACCUUCAGAGGUCGACCGAAACCAUCUGGCUAGAGUCCGGAAGAGGAGAGUGGAAUUCCUGGUGUAGCGGUGAAAUGCGCAGAUAUCAGGAAGAACACCCGUGGCGAAGGCGGCUCUCUGGGACGGUACUGACGCUGAGACGCGAAAGCGUGGGGAGCGAACAGG
rnacentral:rRNA from 1 species